CUCCCGGCCUCACCUCGCAGACGCGACGGGCCGGGGAGGAAGCGCUGGGAGCAGUGCAGGUUUCGUUAUCCCGUGUUAGGUCACUCCGGAGAGGGGAAAGCGGCCCACAGCGUCGCGCGACCCGGAAACGACACAACGAGGCCCAAUCUUUUAGACUCGAGUUUAGGCCCCGGGGUGGAGUCUCCGGACCGGGUCCCCCCCACCCCCCCCCCGCUACAGGGGCAGUGCGCAGGCGCGAGGGACGCACAACCCCAGCCCCUGUCCCAGUGAGCCCGUCGCCAUGGAAUCCCUGCAGACUCCCCAGCACCGCGAAAAUCAAGAUAAAAGGGAGAAGGAGUAUGGGGUAAAACACAUGCCUAUGGGCAAUAAUGCAGGGAAUCUUGAGCCCGAAAAGAGAAAGGCAGUAAGAGUUGCCUUGAAUUCAGCAACAGCUGCACAGAAUAUCCCGUCCAGUGUCCACUGUGGCUGCUCCAAGCAAUGGAGACUCAAGCUACCAUCGGAGUCGCUGCAAAGUCGGGGACAGGUGAUGAAGCGGCCGAAUAACAUUUUAAAGCUCAGGAAUCUGGAUCUGUUGCUCUACCCUUGGCCAGAACUUAGAAGACGGCAGGUUGCUUCUGACCUAGUGAGCCUCCUCCUUCUCCCCGCUUUUUCCGGCCUUACUUGGGCCCCCUUCCUUUUCCUCUUUACAUAUCUGCCUCCUUUUCUCAAUCUCCUCACUGUUGGUUUUGUAUCCUAUUUUCUGGUAUAGUUUCUGUGAUUUCUUUCAUUUAUUUAUUAUUAUUAUUGUUGUUGUUGAGACAGAGUUUUGCCCUUGUUGCCCAGGCUGGAGUGCAAUGGCGCGAUCCUGGCUCACUCUAGCCAACGCCUCACAGGUUCAGGUGAUUCUCCUGCCUCAGCCUCCGGAGUAGCUGGGGUUACAGGCACGGGCCACCAGCCCAGCUAAUUUUUGUAUUUUUAGUACAGACGGUGUUUCACCAUGUUAGUCAGGCUGGUCUCGAACUCCUGACCUCAGGUCAUCCGCCCACCUCGGCCUUCCAAAGUGCUGGGAUUACAGGCAUGAGCUACUGUGCCCAGCCUCUAUGAUUUCAAUUUCCAUGUUUAAGUACCUAUGUAGAACCUAACUGUCCAUAAAGUAAACACAACAAAAAAAAAGAUUUGGCUUUUGGUCAAAGAUCAUUGGAGGUUGGUUACACAGGGUAAAGUGCAGUAUGAUUUUUAUCACAAUUAGAAAGAUUAAAAAGAGAUGACAGUGAGUUUGUGAGAACAGGUUUGUGUUUCAUAAAAUGAAUUGUGUGAGUUCGCUAUGAUGAAUUGCAAGCAGCUUGCAUUUCCAAAGACAAAUAGAGACACAGGAAUCUAAUUAAAAUGCUAAAGUAAUGGGAAGGAGACAUCCAUACGUUUUUGUCCCCCUAAGGUUCCAGAUUUAUAGUUUGAGCAUCAUCUCAGCUUACAUUUUCUCUGUGGAAAACAUCAGCCAUUACAUUACUUGGCUCUGGGUUGAAAUCCUAACUUCAUCAGCUGAAGAUCUUAUGACCUAGGCAAGUUUAUUAACCUCCUCUAUGACGUGAUAAAAACAGUAUCUCUUGUGCGGAUUAGAAGAAAUGUUCCUCUAUGCUAAGAUGAUUAUUAUGUGCGGAACACAUAGUUAAGUGCUUGAUAAAUUGAACUAUGGCGAAUCCAGUCUCAACCAUGGCAAAACUAAGUUAAUAAAAAUGAAACAUAACCUUUA
rnacentral:lncRNA from 1 species